CUCGAGUGGCGAACGGGUGAGUAACACGUGGGUGAUCUGCCCUGUACUUUGGGAUAAGCCUGGGAAACUGGGUCUAAUACCGAAUAUGACCACUUCUUGGAUGGGGUGGUGGAAAGCUUUUGCGGUAUGGGAUGAGCUCGCGGCCUAUCAGCUUGUUGGUGGGGUAAUGGCCUACCAAGGCGUCGACGGGUAGCCGGCCUGAGAGGGUGUACGGCCACAUUGGGACUGAGAUACGGCCCAGACUCCUACGGGAGGCAGCAGUGGGGAAUAUUGCACAAUGGGCGCAAGCCUGAUGCAGCGACGCCGCGUGGGGGAUGACGGCCUUCGGGUUGUAAACUCCUUUCGCAACCGACGAAGCUUUUGUGACGGUAGGUUGAGAAGAAGCACCGGCUAACUACGUGCCAGCAGCCGCGGUAAUACGUAGGGUGCGAGCGUUGUCCGGAAUUACUGGGCGUAAAGAGCUCGUAGGUGGUUUGUCGCGUCGUUUGUGGAAUACCGCAGCUUAACUGCGGGGUUGCAGGCGAUACGGGCAUAACUUGAGUGCUGUAGGGGAGACUGGAAUUCCUGGUGUAGCGGUGGAAUGCGCAGAUAUCAGGAG
rnacentral:rRNA from 1 species